ensembl:miRNA
GUGAGGCUCAGUGUGGGGUGGGGGUGUCAUCACCUGCCUGACCGAGCACCCACUCAUCCUGGCCUGAUCCUCAG